GAAAUUAACGGCGGACGGGUGACCUUUUCUGGGAACCUGCUGGAAAACUGGGAUACUCCGGGAAACCGGGGCUAAUACAAAGAAAUAUUUUGAACUGAUUGGCCCGCAUUUGAUUGGCGGCUUCGGGUGUCACUUGUGGAUGGACCCGACUAUCCUUAGCUGGUUGGAGAGGAAACGGCUCCCCAUUGGAACUGAGCCUAGCCCACCUGUCCUGGUGAUCGGCCACACUGGGACUGAGCACGGCCCACACUCCUACGAUCGGCACCUGCCGGGAAUCUUCCGAAAUGGACGAAAGUCUGACGCUCUUUCGCCAUUGAGUGAUGAAGGCUUUCGGGUCGUAAAACUCUGUUGUUAUUCAAGAACAAGUGCUAGUUGAAUAAACUGGCGCCUUCGACUGUUCCUAACCACAAAGCCACGGCUAACUACGUGCCAGCAUUCGCGGUAAGAAAUAAGUGGCAAGCGUUAUCCGGAAUUAUUGGGUGUAAAGCGCGCACAGGGGUUUCUUAUAUCUGGAUGUGUUAUCCCACGGCUCAGUCCGUGGAGGGUCAUUGUACACUGGGUGACUUGUGUGCAGAGAGAGGAAGAGUGGAAUUGCAUGUGUAGCUGAUGAAUUGUGUAGAGAUAUGGAGGCACACACAGUGGAGAGAGGUAUCUUUGUUGUCUGUAACUGACUGAGAGGCGAGAAAGCGUGGAGAGCACACAGAUUUUAUAUACCCUUAUAGUCACACGCCAUAAACGAUGAGUGCUAAGUGUUAGCAGAGUUUACUUCGGUUGAGGCAUGAAGCUACACGCAUUAAUCACUCCGCGUGGUGAGUACGGACAGCAAGGAUGUAACUCAAAGGAAUCUGAGCGGGGGCCCACACAAGUCGGUGGAGCAUGUGGUUUAAUUGGAAGCAACGCGACGAACCCAGCCAGGUCCAUUCAUCCUAUGAUCACCCUAGAGAUAGGCCUUCUCUUUGGGGAGCAGAGUAACAGGUGGUGCAUGGUUGUCGUCAGCUCGUGUCGUGAGAUGUUGGGUUAAGUCCCGCAACGAGCGCAACCCUUGAUCUUAGUUGCCAUCAUUAAGUUGGGCACUCUAAGGGGACUGCCGGUGACAAACCGGAGGAAGGUGGGGAAGACGUCAAAUUAUCAUGCCCCUUAUGGCGUGGGCUACCCCCGUGGUUCAAUGGGUGGUACCAAGAGGCACAAGGCCGGGAGGGGGAACUAAUUUCAUAAAACCGUUCUCAGUUCGGAUUGCAGUCUGCAACUC
rnacentral:rRNA from 1 species